rnacentral:rRNA from 1 species
UGCCAGACUCCUACGGGAGGCAGCAGUGGGGAAUAUUGCACAAUGGGGGAAAUCCUGAUGCAGCGACGCCGCGUGAGUGAAGAAGUAUUUCGGUACGUAAAGCUCUAUCAGCAGGGAAGAAAAACCGGCCUUAGGGCCGCCAGACGGUACCUGACUAAGAAGCCCCGGCUAACUACGUGCCAGCAGCCGCGGUAAUACGUAGGGGGCAAGCGUUAUCCGGAUUUACUGGGUGUAAAGGGAGCGUAGACGGCGACGCAAGUCUGGAGUGAAAGCCCGGGGCCCAACCCCGGGACUGCUCUGGAAACUGCGUCGCUGGAGUACGGGAGGGGCAGGCGGAAUUCCUGGUGUAGCGGUGAAAUGCGUAGAUAUCAGGAGGAACACCGGCGGCGAAGGCGGCCUGCUGGACCGUGACUGACGUUGAGGCUCGAGAGCGUGGGGAGCAAACAGGAUUAGAUACCCUCGUAG